AGCUUUGCCUUCCUUUUUGCAUAUAUCACGUAGUGAAAUACUCUUACAUCGGUAAACGAAUUUGUAAAAGUAGGAAAAAAAUAGGAGGAAUCAUUAAUUUUUCUUAAGAGUAGAGAAAUUGCUAAAACAAUGAAAUAAAUAAAAUUGACUGAUACGAAUCCUUUUAGAGUAACGUUUCAGACCCCGUUUGAGUUUGGCAUUAACCAAAACAAGAAACUAAUUGAUCAGUCAAUUUUAUGAAAAUUCCACGGACUAUAUUCUAAAAUAGAAACAUGAUCUGUCCAUUUCCAUUCAUUUAUUCUAGCUGACAUCGUCUAGCCUUCUGCCUAUGCUUAAUGCAUGAAUAUAACUCUUCUCACUGCGGAAUUUACAUGUGGGCUGCAGCACCCGAGACCGAAGACCGUUACACGGUGAGCCACAUGGUGACGCCUUGGCAGCGUCCAUGCUCACUUCGGCCUCUAGUCUGGACCACUUCGGUGGGGCCAAGAUAUUCGGUUAGCAAAAAAAAAAAAAAAAACUCUUCUCACUGAAAUAAAUAAAUAUAUUGUUGUAUGAUAAAUGAUACUUAUAGUUAGUUAUAUGUAAUGAUGCAGUGACACUCACUCUUUGUGAAAUCAUAUUUACAGAAUUAAAUUUAAUAGUGUGGAAAGUAAUCUAAUUGAUGUGAAAAAUGGACGGUCCAGAAUCAAACUUGACUUCCUUCCAAAUUAAGUGUCAUGCACAAUUUGAUAUACAUAUAUGCCAUCUAUGUAAUACGAAACUAGAUCUGGAUCCGCCCGACUGGGCGGGUGUUUUUUUCUGUUUACGUAACGUAAUCAGAAAUUUUUACACCAUUAUAUAAUGUAUCAAAAUUAUAAUACAAAUGAUGACAAUAAAACAUCACAUAAUAUAAAAAUUGUUGUAACAUAAUUUGAUUACAAAAUUGAUCACAGUGUGAAAAGGUAAUUUUAGUUGGACCACAUUUCUAUUGACGACCAUUAAAAUAAGAUGAAAUUAAGAAUUAUAAGUUAGUAUGAUAUAUGAAAUAGAUAAAUAAUGUAUACUUUUUUAUGGAAAUUAAUUUAUUCAACUGCUAUGAAAAAUAACUUAUUUUAAAUUUUAUUAAGAUUUGUAAAAGAUUUUUUUUUAAGAUUAUGAAUAAUAUUGAAAAAGUUACAAUUUAAUUAAAAGCUUGAGUUUGUGUUAAAUAGAAAACCUUUUGGGUCAUUUAGCAUUGAAAAGGGCCCAUAAUUUUAAAAGUCCAUGUGUAACAGUUUUUUUUCCGGGAAGCAGAUAUUUUUUUUUUUGGAAACUCGUUUUUGGCAAACGGUUAAUGUUCUCUUAUCUCUUUCUUUUUUUGUGCGGUCUCUCUUUCUUCUUCAAUGAGAAGAAAACAAAAACAAAUCCGAUUCUGCACCUCGAAUUCCUUCUAACAAAGAUAGAUGAUCGAGAAUUCUAAUUCCAUCUGAAGAGCUAUGCAAGUGAUUUGGAGAUAUUAGACAUGCAAGCAAUCAGAUCUUCAAACUUGAUGGAUCCACCGAUGACUUCAUCUCGUACGAUCAUGGAACAAUCAGAUCUUCAAACUUGGCAGAUCAAACUUGGAACAAUCAGAUCUUCAUCUCGUACACAACUUCAUCCCAUACGAUCUGUCGAGAACAAACUAAAUAAUUGUAUAAUGGUGGUCACUAAGCAAGUUCCUACCGAAGCUUUGCGUUAGACAGAUAAGUAUAUGACUAAUUUUUUUUAAUCAUCUUAUAGUAUUUUAGUCAGUUCACUUAUCUAUGUAUAUAUUUAUGAGCAGGUGAAUGAUGGCAUCUUUAGGGCCAGAGCUUUGUCAGGAGGUGAAAGACAUGGGAGAGAAACAAAACGUGAUGCAAUCCAUAUUAAGGAGAAACAUUCAUAUUGAACGUGGGGAUAUUCAAUGGCCGGAAUAAUUCUUCCACUAAAUAUUUUGAAUGUCUAAGCUACCGAGAGUAAAUCUCGAAACUCUGUUUGAGAGGAAUAGGAGGCGAUUUCCGGCCGGUGAGAGUUUAACAGCGUACGUUGAAGAUUCCGGCGACGAUGUCGAGGAGACGGAGUCUGCGGCUGAAAGCGAACGUGGCGAAGCGGUGGAGGAUAUCGAGGGGGGGGGGGGAGCGGCGAAGAGGCACAUGGCCUUGAUGAUUUUAAAGAACUUCUGCCUGGAAGGCUUUUUGCGACAUACCGAUUCCCAAGCGAGAGACAUAAUCUGAAAUCUGGGAAUCUCGGGAAUGUUGGAGAGGAUGAAAUGGGGGGGAGAGAAAAAGAAAGAAGUUCAAUACAUACAGGUUGCAUACGAUUUUGAUCCAAACCAAACAUAUAUUUUGUGUUUUGUGUAUGUACAUUUUUUCGUGUACACGAGUACAUUGGGUGAGCAUGAUGAUGUGUACACAACUGUUAGUGUACGCAUGUACAUGUUAAAGAGAUAUGAAAGUCAUAUUGUACUGCCAUUUGAGAAUCAACUUCAUUAAGCUUUGUAUACUGAUAUGAAAGUCAUAUUAUACUACCAUUUGAGAAUCAACUUUAUUAAGCUUUGUAUAAUGAUAUGAAAGUCAUAUUCUAUUACCAUUACACAUGUACACUGCCAUAUGUAUUGUACACAUAUAUGUUACCAACAUUUAAUGUAUACAUAUACACAUGUACACUAACGAAUGUACAUAACUUUACAACAUGUUGGACAUCUAACAUCUAUUUCAAACAUAUGUGUACAUGUAAAAAUCUGAUAAAAUAUAAUAUGUAUAUUGUACAUGUUAGCCCUUAUUGAUAGUGAAAAACAUGUGAACAUGUAAAUUUCUUUUGAAAGUAUAUAUGUUAAACAUGCAAACAUCUUUAGAUGUGUUAAAAAGAAUAAAAGCCUUCCAAGAUCUAGCUUACAAUGCAUAACCAUCAGUGCCUGUGAAAUAUUUUCUGUAAAUCUCGUCCCAUCGAUUUGUUCCAAUAUGGGAGCAUGCUUACAUGUAGAAAGAUUGUUGUUUGUUGUACAAUGUGAUUGUGUACAUCCCAUGUCGUGUACAUUCUGUACAAUGUGAUUCUGUACAUCCAUGUCGUGUACAAUGUGAUUUUGUACAUUCCAUGGCGUGUACACGUGUACAUCCCAUGUAUCCCAUGUCGUGUACAAUGUGAUUUUGGGGACUAAUAUGCACAUUUUAAUGCUCUGGGGCCAAUAUGAAAAUAAUAAAAAGCCAGCGGACUAUUUCUCAAAGAUUGUUGUUUUCUAUACAAUGUGAUUUUGUACAUAUCAUGUCGUGUACAUGUGUACAUAAUCUAAAAAUACUACGUCGUGUACAGUGAUUUUGUACAUCCCAUGUCAUGUACUCGUGUACAUCUCAUGUCAUGUAUAAUGUGAUUUUGGGGACUAAUCUGCACAUUUUAAUAUUUUAGGGGCAUAAUGAAAAUAAUUAAAAGCCAAAGGACUAUUUCUAAAAAUAUACAGAAGGCCAUAUUGCUAGAUUGAAAGUAUUGGGGUAAAUUUAUGAAGCAAAUUAAUCAGAUUGGAAGUUUAGACAUAUUGUGAAAGAAGCAGAAAACUAAAGGACCAAAGAUGAAAAAGAUGAAACUCAUCCAUUGAUGUCGCUCGGUCUAUCUUCGUCGGAUUUCGUUGACGACGAUGGCGAGCAGGCAACAACGGAGCAGAGACACGACGGUGAGAAUUAAUUCCGACGGCGGCGAAGGCUGAAAGCACGAUCUGAGAUGGAGUGGUCAUGGGCUUGAGACGUGGAGAAGCCGAUGUUAACGAGACGCAACGAAAAGCAAUGACUACCGGUGAACGAGACGCAACGAAAAGCAACGACUACGCCGCUGCUUAGUAUUGUUCACUGUCAUUUUGCCUAAUCGAACGUCGCCGUUGGGAUGUUGAUUAUUCUCAUUAUUUGGUUAGGUUUAUAGAUGUGAAGCUAUUGUAGAACAUGAAAAGCAUGGCUUGUGAGAUCUGAAAAAAAAAUGUUGGAGUAAAAUCGAUGAGGAGAGAGAAAGAUGUUAGGACUCAAGUGCAUUUAAACGUUUAAUUGACCAAUUUUAUGGUUAGUUAUGUUAUUUAGUUAGUGAAUAGGUAGAAAAUGGUUUUGGUUAGAAUAAACUGCUCUAGUAGCAAUAACCGUCUUUUAAUGUUAUAAAAAACUUAAAACUGUCUCUGAGUGUAAUUGUUUCUAAUUAAUUACUAUAUCGGACCUGCAGACAGAAGAGGUUCACAUUAUUCAUAUCAUAGCUCUAGUAGGCCUACUUCAGGCUCAAUGAGAGAUAUUAUAUAGAGGAUGCUGAGAAAGGAAGAAAAAUAGGAUCAAAGCCACCAAGUUGUAAGAAGAUGUAAGCUGCCGUGUGAAGCAAUCCAAGUCCCUACCAUUUCUUCAACUCCUCACCUUUCUCCUCAUUAUGCUAAUUACCAGCAUGAGCUGCCAUUGUGCCACUUAAUUAAACUCUUUAAAUUCCUUAAUUAGACACAACUACAAUAUAAUAUAUCCUUCAUAUGUCUCUCUUUUAAAAUUAUUAUAAUCAGUAUUGUGAACCUGUAGUAACUUUGUCUAGCUAGCUAUCUUAUACCAAAAAAAAAAAUUAGCCAUUUUAAAAUAACUAAAACAUUAAACAACUUAUCGUGUAUGCCAGUUUUAGAUUCGUAGUAUGAAGUAAUAAACUGGAACCUAAUAAACAUGCAAUCCCAUUUUUCCUAGAGCAUAGUGUCAAGCUCAAACAUUUUUCACAGUGAAGAGUGUUUUACUUGUGUGGUAAGAUGGAACACUUGUAUACUAAAAGAAGCUGAACUUUAUGUAACCAAAUUAAAGAAGAUAUGAAUUAAAUGAAAUAGAAUUCCAUUAGUUGGCCCGAGAGAAAUAUAUGAAUUAAAUGAAAUUAAAAAAGAUUCAAUAAUGAGUAAUCAGAUGAUUCAUGAACUAUCUGUUCAAAAAAAAUCGACGGAGUGGCCAAAUUCUUCACUCAGCGAAAACAAAAUAAAAAAUGUGGUUGAUAAAAUAAAGACAAUCAGAAAUCAAACGAAAAAAAAUUCAAAA